CAUCUAAAGAAAAACAUCAAGACCAGACUUACAAUAAAAUACAGAUAUACAACAUCAACACACUUAUUACCCACAAUAUAUAUUAUGACUCAUGUAACUAUAAGAGUAACUUACUAACUCCUUAGAUCAGAUCUUUAACCACUCCAGGAAGUACUUUAAUUCAUGUUAUUUUCAGCUUGCAUCACCGAGAACAACUUCUCCUAAUUAAGUUAAUGAUGUGCUUGUAAAUGAAAAAUAUUCACAAAUCUCACUGUGACACCUGUUUGUCUUAUGCUAAUUCUAAAAGGAUACAGUUGCUAACAAUUCUCUUAAUUGCAUUACAGGUGUUUUUUUACUUUAAUUUCAUUAUUAUUUGUGUUGCCUGUUCAUUUGGGGUUGAUGUAGUGGUUAUUGAUAGCUCUAAUGUUUUGGUGAAUGCAUGUUGAGGGGAUAUAAUAGGUAAUAUAAGACUGAGGGAACAUUGGGCUGACAGAACAUGAGGCCGACAGAAUAUAAGGCUGACAGAACGUAAGGCUGAGGCAGGCUCGGACUGGUAAUCUGUGAUACCGGGCAUUUGCCAGAAGGGCCGGUCCACAUUUCGGCGUGCGAGGGCCGGCCCUCGUUCAAUCAUACCGGCCCCAAUACUGAUUAUACGACCGCCUUACUUACCUGACAAUACGGAUAACUCAAAGAGCCCAAGAAAGAACCUAACGUCAAAUUGUUGCAAUGGUGCAUCCAGUAUACAUAGCGCUUCCUUGUCAUGCACAUCUAUGUGACGGUUGGUAUAUGGUAUAAUUUUCUAUUUCUUCAAACUGUAAAAUCCUGUUUCUUCAAACUGUACAAUCAUUGCAACAAACUAAAUUAAAAUAAAACUAAAAUGCUUUCUUCAAACUAAACUACGAUUUUCUUCUUAUAUUUGGCGAAUUUAUGUUCGAAUAUUUUGCAAAAAUAUGUUGCGGUGCACGAUGGGAUUAUACAUCUAACAGCGAACGUUAACGGUCCAUGGAUGCUGCGGAUGUUGCUUCGCUUAUAUUUUAAUUUCAGUGGAUGGGCUAAAAAUCAUGGAAAGAGUUGGCAAAAAGAAGAAAGGGGGAGCGGAGAAGAUUCGGGACAAAAGGCAGAAAUCUCUACAAGCUGAGGCGUCUGGAUGUUUUAAAAUAGAUCGCUUGUUUGCUGUGGCCAGUGCUUCAACCGUUGCUGCUAGUGCCCCCGACGUCCCUGCUGCUACAACCUAACAUAAUCCAUUGUUUGCUAGCAGGACUGUCCGGGUAUGUUAAACCGUGUGGAUUAAUGUGGAAUAAUUGCAACUUGCAAGAAGCCCCUCGAUCAAGACAGCGUCAAGAUUCCCCUGUUGGACUAGCCCGCCCCCGGUGGGUCGAGGACGUACCUGGGUUUCACGGUAGAUCCAGCGGACCAGCGAGGUCACGCUGGUGUACACCCCCGGUUUACCGGCGCGGCCGCAGCCGUGCCCCCAGCUCACCACGCCCACUAGCCUCCAGUCCCCGGGACCGGUCUCACAGACCAGUGGACCCCCGCUGUCGCCCUGGCAACCACACCCCAGGCCUUGUCACACAUCAACAAGACCUGAUGGGUCGAACCAAUUCAGCUCAGAGCACGACAGUGCUUCAGUCAGCACAAAACAUCCGGGGAGUUAGGAGGCCUCCGUAGACAUACCGUUGGGAGCACGUGGCUGGGGAUAUGAUCUGAACGCACGCCUGUUGGAGCUCGUCGGACAGCAGCCCUGGAAGAGAAAAACUACCCAUCAUUCAGCAGCCUGCAUUGGGAGGGAAGGAUGCGCUGGGACUGGGCAGACAAACAGGCCGCACGCCCCCUGGUGGACAGCAGACGACACAAGGCAAACAAUGUAACUGUAGAUGAUAGAAAAAAUUGUUAACUCAGAAAAGUAAUUAUAAUCAAUAACUGCUAUCAUAAAAAUGUCAAUAAUGAUAAAAUAAUUAUAAUAAAUAAUUUUAUAAUGACGUAAUCUUAACAAAAACAUUUGGAGCGGUGGGUAGUUCCAUAAACCGACCUAUCAG